GAUGAAGAACGCAGCGAAGUGCGAUAAGUAGUGUGAAUUGCAGAAUUCAGUGAAUCAUCGAAUCUUUGAACGCACAUUGCGCCCCUUGGUAUUCCAUGGGGCAUGCCUGUUCGAGCGUCAUUUGUACCUUCAAGCUUUGCUUGGUGUUGGGUGUUUGUCUCGCCUUUGCGUGUAGACUCGCCUUAAAAUAAUUGGCAGCCGGCGUAUUGAUUUCGGAGCGCAGUACAUCUCGCGCUUUGCACUCAUAACGACAGCGUCCAAAAGUACAUUUUACACUCUUGACCUCGGAUCAGGUAGGGAUACCCGCUGAACUUAAGCAUAUCAAUAAGCGGAGGA
rnacentral:misc_RNA from 1 species